rnacentral:rRNA from 1 species
GGCGCACGGGUGAGUAACGCGUGGGUGAUCUGCCUCCGAGUGGGGAAUAACAGCGGGAAACUGCUGCUAAUACCGCAUGACAUCCUCGGGUCGCACUGAGGAUCAAAGCCGGGGACCGCAAGGCCUGGCGCUUGGAGAUGAGCCCGCGUCCGAUUAGCUAGUUGGCGGGGUAAUGGCCCACCAAGGCUCCGAUCGGUAGCCGGCCUGAGAGGGCGGACGGCCACACUGGGACUGAGACACGGCCCAGACUCCUACGGGAGGCAGCAGUGGGGAAUUUUUCGCAAUGGGGGAAACCCUGACGAAGCAACGCCGCGUGGAGGAUGAAGGCCUUCGGGUCGUAAACUCCUGUCGACCGGGAAGAAUGCACCCGACCUAAUACGUCGAAGUGUUGACUGUACCGGUGGAGGAAGCCACGGCUAACUCUGUGCCAGCAGCCGCGGUAAUACAGAGGUGGCAAGCGUUGUUCGGAAUUACUGGGCGUAAAGGGCGCGUAGGCGGCCCGCCAAGUCCCGUGUGAAAGCCCCCGGCUCA